AACGCGAAGAACCUUACCAGGAUUCGACAUGUCCCUUCUGGAUUCUUGAAAGAGAAUCCUUCAGUUCGGCUGGGGGGAACACAGGUGCUGCAUGGCUGUCGUCAGCUCGUGUCGUGAGAUGUUGGGUUAAGUCCCGCAACGAGCGCAACCCUCGUCUUCUGUUGCCAUCAGGUCAAGCUGGGCACUCUGAAGAAACUGCCGGUGAUAAGCCGGAGGAAGGUGGGGAUGACGUCAAGUCCUCAUGGCCCUUACAUCCUGGGCUACACACGUGUUACAAUGGCGGUGACAAUGCGUCGCUAACCCGCAAGGGCAAGCUAAUCGCAAAAAGCCGUCUCAGUUUGGAUUGUACUCUGCAACUCGAGUACAUGAAAUUGGAAUCGCUAGUAAUCGUAGAUCAGCAUGCUACGGUGAAUACGUUCCCGGGCCUUGUACACACCGGCUAC
rnacentral:rRNA from 1 species